AUUGAACGCUGGCGGCAUGCCUAACACAUGCAAGUCGAGCGGAGCGGCGGACGGGUGAGUAACGCCUAGGAAUCUGCCUGGUAGUCGGGGAUCAAGUCGGGAAACGGGCGGUAAGACCGUAUUAUAUCAGAGAAGACUAGGUCGGAUUAGCUAGGUGGUGGGUUAAAGGCCUACCAAGGCGACGAACCGUAACUGGUCUGAGAGGAUGAGCAGUCACACGGGAACUGAGACACGGUACAGGCUCCUACGGGAGGCAGCAGUUGUGAAUAGUGUACAAUGAGCGAAAGCCUGAUGCAGAAGUGCCGAGUGUGUGAAGAAGGUAUUCGGAGUGUAAAGCAAUGUAAGUUGGGAUGCGUUACCAACAGAAUAAGCAACGGCUAACUUCGUGCCAGCAGCCGCGGUAAUAC
rnacentral:rRNA from 1 species